UAUUACCUCCCCUUUGAAGGGGGCAUGGCCCUUCAUUUGAACAAACGUGAAUUCCCUUUACCCAUGGAUGAUGUGUACCAAGUUUGAUUGAAAUUGGCUCAGUGUUUCUGGAGAAGAAGAUAAAAAUGUGAAAAAAAUUGACAGACAGACGGACAACGGGUGAUCAGUCAUCACCCGAGUUUUCCGCUCAGGUGAGCUAAACAGUCAUUUAUUUAAAAAGAAAGGAAGAAAGAAAAUUAGCUCAAGAAAGAUAAACGGAAAGUCGUGCCACACAUAUCUAAGUCUGUUAUGAUUUAGGAAUCGUGUUGACUGCGCUCUGAUGUUACAAUGUAGUGUACUUUUUACUAAAUUCAAAAUGAAGACCUUAUUACAUCAAACGUUUUCACUCCUUUAUAUCAAUGUUGUUCAUUAAUAUACCUUUUAAAGAAAUGCUUUUUCUUUUUUUUCUGACAUCACAUUUCGUACCUGGGUGGUCACUGUAUAAAUAUAUAUAUGGUCUUCACGAGAGUCUUCAAACAGCGUUGUAAAGAGAUAGACCUUCAAUGAAUUUUGUGAACUGAGAAAUCAUACAAAUUAUUGUGUUACCUUUCCUAUCCCCUUAUGUGUCUUCAGCAUUUGUAACAUAAAUGAUUAGCUACAAGGGGAUGAGACGGGGUGGGGGGUGGGGGUGGGGGUGGGGAAGAUUGUUACAAGACACGUAUUCCUCUUUUCAAAUAACCAGUAUAAUUAUGGGUUUUUAAAAAAAAAAAAAAAAAUUAAAGCAAUUUAUUAGACGACCAAUCGAUAACUAGCACAGAUGUAAUUUUGAAUUCAGGUCCAUUUUACUCCAAUAGCAGAAAAGAAGACGUUUUCAGUGUAGUGGGGUUUGUCAAUCCUCUUUUAAGGAAUUUGCAUUCAUUGUAAGGGUACUGCACAAUAUCAAUGGAGGACGAUUCCAGC